GUUGCACAUACGUAUUUUAGUGUACUUCUGAAAAGUACACUUUGUUUCAAGUCCUUUGUAAUACACUAUUAAAAUGCUUUAUUAAAGUAUACUUAAAUUUCCCUUUAUUAGUAGUGUAUUUAAGUAUACUUCCUUACAGUUCACUUUAAUGCAAGUUAAUUUUAAGCUGUAUUUCAGUGUACUUAGAAAAAGUAUACUAAAUUGCAAAAACUUAUAGUUGUCAUUCAGUGUGAUUCUGAAAAGUACACUUAGUAAUACACUAUUAAAAUGCUUUAUUUUUAGUAUACUUUAAUUUCACUUCAUUAGAAGUUUAUAUAAGUAUAUUUCCAUAAAUUCCACUUGUAAGUUGAUGGAAUGGGUUAUUUCAUACAUCAUCACAACCAAAGUGUUGAAUUAAUCAAGAAAUUACAGAUAAAUAAUACUGAAAUGGCUACUUUUACUAGCUCCAACGACUAACUAUUAAAGAAAAUGCAAUAAUGAGGGCUACACCAAGGUUGCUCCUCAGUAGCUUUAUUAUAUAUGUUAUAUAUGUCAGACGUUUUAAAGUUAGGUGUUGUUGAAUGUAUGUUUGUAUUAAUAUUUAAAUUAAAGUUUUGGUUUGUACAAUUUAAGUGUUUUUUGUCAUGGAACAAAAUAGCACCCAUGGAGUGUACAAAAUGGUACCAGAAAGAAGUGCAUGUGAAGUAUAAUAGUGAUGUAUUUCAUCGCCAGAUCGUACUUCGUGUUACCGUGUUUUUGGAUUGUCACCUCCAGCCUGCAGUCUUCACUCCCUCCAGCCCGAUACGCCCCAGUCCAACCAACCUCCUGCUUCACUCCUAGCUGAACUAAAUAAACCUGUUCACCGUCACUCCAACUCCUGUCCUGUCUCCUGCUCUUGGGUCCAGCAGCUAACGCUACCCUAACAAUAAUGGCACACUUAAAAAGUACUAAAUAUAGUCAGAAUGUGUAUUAGCUUCUCUGCGGUGCACAGCUAGCAGGGUAGUGCUAGCACAGCUUUUGUUUAUCUUUAUUUUUCCCUUUUAUUAUUGUUAUUUAGUUAACUUGUUAAAGAGUGUGACUAAAAAUAAUUCUCUGGGGUCAGAUGAUCCAAAUUUGAAUAUAAAUGUUACGAUGAAGAGAAACUGUUUGAAAAUGUUGUUUAAGAUGUUGUUAAAGAUGUAUUUAAAUGUACUUUAUUAUGCACAUUUUCCCUGUCAUGCCGUGCAUGUUAAAAAUAAACUUUUCUACCUCAAGUAUGUUCUAAAUAU
ensembl:lncRNA